UACGUAGGGUGCAAGCGUUGUCCGGAAUUAUUGGGCGUAAAGAGCUCGUAGGCGGUCUGUCGCGUCGGCUGUGAAAUCCCGGAGCUCAACUCCGGGUCUGCAGUCGAUACGGGCAAACUGGAGUACUGCAGGGGAGACUGGAAUUCCUGGUGUAGCGGUGAAAUGCGCCAGAUAUCAGGAGGAACACCGGUGGCGAAGGCGGGUCUCUGGGCAGUAACUGACGCUGAGGAGCGAAAGCGUGGGGAGCGAACAGG
rnacentral:rRNA from 1 species